UGGAUUCUGUAGGCAAAUACAGCAGUAUUUAUAUAAUGGAGUAAUACAACAGGUGCUAACGGAAAUCUUCUGCGACUUUUGUCAGUGGAGAAAGGGCAUGGUGAAAGCUAGCACAGGAAUUAAAAUUUUUGUCAGGGAGGCUAGAAUAAGUUUCUUUGCUUGAUGAAAAAAACACACUCAAACAAUUCUAAAGAUGAGGGGGGGUAAAGAUGUCUGUAAGUAUUUGUUUCAAUUUGCAUAAAGUGUUACUGUUUUCCAAACCUUCCUAAAGUGGCAUAUAUGUGCUUAUGUCAAUUCUUUAUUAAAGAUUAACAUUUCUCUCCAGGUGCCGUGUGUUUCAAAUAAGCAUUUAAAACAAGAAGCAAUCACUUAUAAGUACUUCACAUAGAUACCUUUGUGUGAGGUGUUUCCAAUGAAAGUAGAUUCUCUCCUGAUAUGUUUUUUAUUCUUCAUUAUAAUUCCAGCACACUGGGGAGCACCUAGACAACGAACGUACGUGGUGUCUGAAUCCGACACAACCUCUGGUGUGACACCCUACAGAACCUACACUGUGUCUGGAACGGACACAACCUCUGAUUCUUUUAAGCUUCCAUUCUUACCCCAUGGAACCAGUACACCUCGUGGUCCUGCUCCAGCUGCACACUGGGGAGCACCUAGACAACGAACGUACGUGGUGUCUGAAUCCGACACAACCUCUAGUGUGACACCCUACAGAAUUUAUAGCAUCUCUGAAACCAACAUACCCCACUGUGUGGUACCUAGCAGAAUCUACAGUUUGUCUGAAACCAACAUACCCUCCAGUGUGACACCAGGCAGUACAGGUGUUGGGUCAUCAAUGGACAUAUCCUCCCAUGUGAUACCCGGCAGACCUUACCGUGUGUCUUCAGCCAACACAUCCAAUGUGACACCCAGCAGAAGAGGCAUUGGGUCAUCACUGGAUACAUUCAUCAACCUAAUACCAACCACAACCGAUACUGGGUCAUCAAUGGAUGCAUCCUCACGCAUGACACAAAAUAGAACUUUUACCGUGUCUUCAGUCAACAUGCCCUCCAGUUUUACAGAGAACAGAACUGGUACUGGGUCUUCAGUCAACACAUCCUUCCAUUUCUGACCACACAGAACCAGUUCUUUGCCUUCAGUCAGAUCUUCCAGCCAGGAUGUCUCAUCCAGCACCAGGAGAAAUCAGGGAAUUUAAUUAUUGGAGUCCUGGUCAUGUCCGUUUUCAUAACCAAUAUCAUACCUUCUCUUCAAAUGGGAAAAACUCCAACAAUGUAGAAAGAGCUAAUUAAAGUACAGUUGUACCUACCUUUUGUUGUAGUUUAUUGUACGUGAUUUUUUUGUCCAUAAUUUCACAUUUUUAGAAAAUGUGCAUUCAUAUCUUCACAUUUCUGUGUUUCUAAUUUGUAUUAUACCAAAAC
rnacentral:lncRNA from 1 species